AUUGAACGCUGGCGGCAGGCUUAACACAUGCAAGUCGAGCGGGGGAAGGUAGCUUGCUACUGGACCUAGCGGCGGACGGGUGAGUAAUGCUUAGGAAUCUGCCUAUUAGUGGGGGACAACAUCUCGAAAGGAAUGCUAAUACCGCAUACGUCCUACGGGAGAAAGCAGGGGAUCUUCGGACCUUGCGCUAAUAGAUGAGCCUAAGUCGGAUUAGCUAGUUGGUGGGGUAAAGGCCUACCGAGGCGACGAUCUGUAGCGGGUCUGAGAGGAUGAUCCGCCCCACUGGGACUGAGGCACGGCCCAGACUCCUACGGGAGGCAGCAGUGGGGAAUAUUGGACAAUGGGGGGAACCCUGAUCCAGCCAUGCCGCGUGUGUGAAGAAGGCCUUAUGGUUGUAAAGCACUUUAAGCGAGGAGGAGGCUACUCUAGUUAAUACCUAGGGAUAGUGGACGUUACUCGCAGAAUAAGCACCGGCUAACUCUGUGCCAGCCGCCGCAGUAA
rnacentral:rRNA from 1 species